rnacentral:rRNA from 1 species
UAGUUUGAUACUGGCUCAGAACGAACGCUGGCGGCGUGCCUAACACAUGCAAGUCGAACGAGAAAGUUUCUUCGGAAUGAGUAAAGUGGCGCAAGGGUGAGUAACACGUGAAUAAUCUGCCUUCGAGCCUGGGAUAACUUGACGAAAGUUAAGCUAAUACCGGAUAAGACCACGCUUCAUAAGGAGUGCGGUAAAAGGGGUCUCAAACCCUACUUGAAGAUGAGUUCGCGUACCAUUAGCUUGUUGGUGAGAUAACAGCUCACCAAGGCGACGAUGGUUAGCCGGCCUGAGGGGGUGAUCGGCCACACUGGAACUGAGACACGGUCCAGACUCCUACGGGAGGCAGCAGUGGGGAAUCUUGCGCAAUGGGCGAAAGCCUGACGCAGCAACGCCGCGUGAGCGAUGAAGGCCUUCGGGUCGUAAAGCUCUGUCAAGUGGGAAGAACACAAUGACGGUACCACUAGAGGAAGCCCCGGCUAACUUCGUGCCAGCAGCCGCGGUAAUACGAAGGGGGCAAGCGUUGUUCGGAAUUAUUGGGCGUAAAGCGUGUGUAGGUGGUCUUUCAAGUCAGACGUGUAAGCCCUCGGCUCAACCGAGGAAUUGCGUUUGAAACUGAUUGACUUGAGUGUAGGAGAGGAAAGCGGAAUUCCCAGUGUAGCGGUGAAAUGCGUUGAUAUUGGGAAGAACACCGGUGGCGAAGGCGGCUUUCUGGCCUACUACUGACACUGAGAUACGAAAGCCAGGGGAGCAAAGGGGAUUAGAUACCCCCGUAGUCCUGGCUGUAAACGAUGGGCACUAGGUGCGGGGGGUAUUG